UUUCUGGGAGCACUCGGUUCUGCAGGAAACUCAUCCAUCCUAUCCCAAGGAUGCUCUGGAAUGAAUCCAUUUAGGAUUAUUCCCAUUUUUCUGCCCCCUCCCUCACCCUUGUGGCUCUGGCUCCAAUGGGAUGAUUUAUUUUCCAUUUGCCAAAGGAUGGAAUAAUCCAUAUCCAUGUGCCUCCGGCUCUAAUCCCUCUUUUUUUUCCCCCUGGGUGAUUGCAUUCUGUGUGGGAGGGGCUUUAAAGCUUUUUUUGGGUUUUUUUGGGAUUUGGAAUUAAAAACUAAACUGGAAAUGCAGAAUGGAAUGUGAGGAAUAUUUUGCUUGAAUUUGUCCUUUCCCUUUGACUUGAAUUCCAGAUAAAUCCGGGAAUUGCUCCCUGCCCCCAUCCUUCUCCCAACAGCCUCAGCCAAGGAUCGAAAAUCUAAAUUCCUAAAAAAUCAAGGAAGUCAGUGAAGCUUCCUGGCUCCAUCCCCUCCAUCCUGGAGAAUUUUUUCCAUGAACUGUGUGGAUUCCGAUUUACCUUUCCCGCUAAUUUUGAGGGAAUGAACCAGUCAGGCUCCUAGAAAAAGCAAUCUUUCCACGCUAAACAGAGGGAAGAAAGAGGAAUUAGAGGAAUUAGGGGGGAAGUUCCCAGCAUUCCUGAUCCAUUUGCAGUUCCAUGGGAAUGUGGCAGUGCUGUUCAAUCUGUGCAGCCUCAUUGAUUCCCAAUAAAUCCUUGGGAUCGCUUGACCCCAUUCCGUGGUCCCAAUCCAAUGUCACUCAUCCCACACGUCAGUGCCGGCUCCAAACAUCCCAGGCAGUUUCCAGCCCUUCCCAGACGUGGAUCUGGACUCCCAAAAGCCUUUUUUAUCCAGAUAUUUCAUGGAAAAAUCCAUCAUUAUUUAUUUUUAAUCUCAAUUUCCUCUUCAGAUUUUGCGAUUUUGGUGGUUUUCCUUUUUUCCCGGACUUUUAUGAUUGGAUGCUCCAUCCUCCCUGCGUUAAGCAGGAAAGGCUGAUGCUGGGAUAAGGAAAAUAAGAAAUCCAUGGAUUUGGCUUGGCACAGGGACAGUGACCACACCAAUGACACUUCCAGGGAUCCAGGGGCAGCCACAGCUUCUCUGGGAAUUCCAUCCCAUCUCCUCCUCACCCUCCCAGCUGGGAAUUCCUUCCCAAAUCCAUUGAAACCUCUUGUCUUCCAGUUUAAAGCCAUUCCCCUUUCCUUGGGGGGAGGAAGCUUUUAAAGGAAAAAGAACUUUGGGAAUAUUUAAAAUUUUUCCCUCUUUGAGCAAAAUUCCUCCAAAAUCUGAUUGAAAUCCUGGGUAAAACCACAUGAUUCCACAAGAACUUGGCCUUUCCCUGUGCUGGGCAGGGAAGGAGCAGGUUUGGCUCCAAGGAAAAGUUUGGGAAGAGCAUGGAGAUGUCAGAGCUUAUCCAACGGAAGGGGAAAAAUGCCCGGAACCCUUUGGUGUUCCCGAGGUUUGUCAGGAAAUCUUUCCUAACGACUUCACUCCGCCUCUCCACCUGGAGUUCCGAUGGGUUUGGAGGGAAGGACAUCAAAAAAGAUGGAUAACAUUGGGAAUUCAACAAGGACUCCGGCCAAUUUUCCUGUGCAAUCCAAUUUCCACAGGCAGGAUGUGCCACUGGAAAUGCCAGAGCUAUUUAUGGAUCCUGGGAUCAAGGGGAAACGUAGAAAAGUUCUGAAUUUUGGCAGCUUUAUCGGGAUUUGCGAGGAGGGAGAAGCUGUUAAUGCUGGGAAUGGUCUGGAGGGAGCUGGGGGACACAUCCAGCCCCAUUCCCUGGCUGAGGAAUCCCAAAUCCUGCUCCUUCCUCGCCUUUUGUCCUCCCUGGGUCAUCCAUAUAUGGGGCUUUUCCAGGAGAAAACUCCCAGCAGAGCUCCAAUCUAAACAGUGGCAGCAUCCCAGGAUUUCUGCAGCUCCAAACUCCUGGAGCAGCUUCCAGCUGGAAUUAGGAGCCCUUGGGAAUUCGGAACCCCAAGCAGUUCUUUUGUCAUUGUCAAACUCCCACCUGGAAUUUGCUUGGAAUUUGCUCUGGCUGUACUGGAAAGCUGAAAGGAGAAAUGUGUGGGAUGCAAGAGUUCCUGGGAUUGGAGCAUUUUAAGGAGUUUUUCCUAUUUUUCCCAAUUUUUUUUGUGGCUGUACAAAGCUCCCACCUCUGGUAGUUGAUCUCUCCAUGGAUCCAUUUUUUGUGCAAUCCAAAAUCUGCACCUGCAGGGAUCGCACUCGGAAUUCCUGCUGGCAGAAUCAGAUGGUGCAUCCAGAAUUCCCUGAUUUUUGGGGGUUGGAUCAGAAAGGAAGAGGAAUAUUCCCUCUGCUCCAUGAGUGUGUGAGCAGGGAAGGGCUGAUCCAUGGGGAAAACUGGCAGAGAUUCCCAGAAAAGCUGUGGUUGCCCCUGGAUCCCUGGAAUUGUCCAAAUCUGGGCUGGAGCAGCCUGGGAUAGUGGGAAGUGCUGGGAUUGGAGCUGGAUGAGCUUUAAGGUCCCUUCCAGUUCCAAACCAGUCUGGAUCAAUGGUAGCAUCCAAAACUUCCCAGUUCAACGGGAUUGUGAUGGGGGAUUUGGGAUAAUUAGGGCAGGAUUUGAUCCUGGAUAUGUCGGUGUUGUAUCCAUGGAUAUCAGCUCCUCAUGUCCUAAGGGACAGGAGGAAAAGCAGGAAGAGAAGUGGGAAAACCAAAGCUUUUCCAUCCUUCCUGUCCCUGUUUUCACAGGAUGGAAACAUCCUGCUCCAACCAUAAAUCCUGAGCCCCAGGGGGAAUUUUUUUCCCUCUGGAAAUGGAAUUUUGCGCUGGCAUAACCUGGCAACCCACCCACGUCGGAGGCUGAGUUAUCCAAUAAUUAUUGGAUAUUGGACUGGGAGCAGCUUCCUCUGCAUCCCUGGGCUAUUGAUCCUCGGGGUAUCCCGGGAUUAGAAAUGUAGGGAAGGAAAUGGGAAUUGGCAUUUCAAAGGUGGCUCUGCUGGGGAUAAAAAUGGGAUCAUUUCCUCUGGAACAACGGCAAAUCCGGGCUGAUCCAUCAGGGAUGGGGAUGUGGGGUUUGGGGCUGGACUGGGGAAUUCAUGGAAUCAUGGAAUGGUGUGGGUGGAAAGGGGCCUUGGAGAUAAAUUUAUUCCAACCCCAACGCUUCCCGCUAUCCCAGGGUGCUCCAAGUGUCCAACCUGGCCUCGGAUGUUCCAGGGAUGAAGCAGCCACAGAUUUUCUGGGAAUUUUCUGGGGCCUCACCACCUUCCCAGCCAGGAAUUCUUUCCCAAUAUUCCAUCUAAAUUUUCCCUCUGGCACAGAGGCCCCAUCCAUACCCCCUGGACAUGCAGCAUCCUGUUCUCCAGGAACCUCAGAUCACUUCCCAAAUCCUUCUGAGAUCCCGGGAGUGGGCACUGAAAGGAAUUCAUUGCUUAAAAUGAGCUGGGAAUUUCAUUCCCAGAGUUAAAUUCCAGUUAAAUUCCCAUUCUCAGAAAUUUUCUGGCUGGUUUGGAGAAGGAAAAUCAUCUCAAAAUCCAAUGUUAUUGACUCAUCCUCUCCCACACAUCCUGCAAAUCUGGCUUUGGGAAAAGCUGGAAUUUUGUGGAUGGGAAGGAUCCCUUUGGAGCAGGAGCUGGGUCCAGGCUGGCUCCUGUCUCCCAUGGGAUGAUGGUGCUGAGGAUUUUGGGAAUAUUUGGGUUCAGAAGCUCUGGAAAUCCCCACUCCAGAACAUGUGGAGCUGUUUGCAGUUUGGUAUUGGAGCUUCCCGCUGAUCCUGGCUUUUCUUAGGGAUAACUCUGGCUUUUAGGAAGCCAAUUUCUUUUGGAAUUAGAUUCAGUUGGUUUAAAACUUUGGUAAAAUUUAGAUUUUGGCUGUGGAGAUGCUGGAUUUGGAGGAUUU
ensembl:lncRNA